UACGUUCCCGGGCCUUGUACACACCGCCCGUCACACCAUGGGAGUUGGUUUACCCGAAGGCGUUUCGCCAACCCGCAAGGGGGCAGGCGACCACGGUAGGGUCAGCGACUGGGGUG
rnacentral:rRNA from 1 species